rnacentral:rRNA from 1 species
AACGGCGAGUGAAGCGGCAACAGCUCAAAUUUGAAAUCUGGCUCUUUCAGGGUCCGAGUUGUAAUUUGUAGAAGAUGUUUCGAGUGUGGCUCCGGUCUAAGUUCCUUGGAACAGGACGUCAUAGAGGGUGAGAAUCCCGUAUGUGACUGGUUGCCUUCGCUCAUGUGAAACUCUUUCGACGAGUCGAGUUGUUUGGGAAUGCAGCUCAAAAUGGGUGGUAAAUUUCAUCUAAAGCUAAAUAUUGGCCAGAGACCGAUAGCGCACAAGUAGAGUGAUCGAAAGAUGAAAAGCACUUUGGAAAGAGAGUUAAACAGUACGUGAAAUUGUUGAAAGGGAAGCGCUUGCAACCAGACUUGCGCGUGGUUGAUCAUCCGGGGUUCUCCCCGGUGCACUCGAUCACGCUCAGGCCAGCAUCGGUUUGGGUGGUUGGAUAAAGGCCUUGGGAAUGUGGCUUCCUUCGGGGAGUGUUAUAGCCCUCGGUGCAAUGCAGCCUACCCGGACCGAGGACCGCGCUUCGGCUAGGAUG